GUGAGGAAUUUUCCGCAAUGGGCGAAAGCCUGAUCUAGCCAUGCCGCGUGAGCGAUGAAGGCCUUAGGGUUGUAAAGCUCUUUCAGCUGGGAAGAUAAUGACGGUACCAGCAGAAGAAGCCCCGGCUAACUCCGUGCCAGCAGCCGCGGUAAUACGGAGGGGGCUAGCGUUGUUCGGAAUUACUGGGCGUAAAGCGCACGUAGGCGGAUCAGAAAGUCAGAGGUGAAAUCCCAGGGCUCAACCUUGGAACUGCCUUUGAAACUCCUGAUCUUGAGGUCGAGAGAGGUGAGUGGAAUUCCGAGUGUAGAGGUGAAAUUCGUAGAUAUUCGGAGGAACACCAGUGGCGAAGGCGGCUCACUGGCUCGAUACUGACGCUGAGGUGCGAAAGCGUGGGGAGCAAACAGGAUUAGAUACCCGUGUAGUCC
rnacentral:rRNA from 1 species